ensembl:misc_RNA 7SK 7SK RNA
GGAUGUGAGGGAGAAUUGGCUGCUGUAUCUGUCACCCAAAUGAUCUCCAGGGUUGAUUCGGCUGAUCUGGUUGGCUCUGUAGGUGUUCCCUUCCUCCCUCACUGCUCCAUGUGCUGCAUCCUUGGUCAAAGAGGAUGACCACCCCCAAUAGAGGAGCACCAUUUCCUUGGUCAAGGAUAUACAAGUAGCUGUGCUCCCCUGCUGGAAUCUCCAAACAAGUGCUCAGUACUUUACUUCUUCUUGAAUUGAUGUGACAGGCCUGGUGGCACAUGCCCGUAAUCUCAGCACUCAAAAGACUAAAGCAAAUGUAUUUCUAUGAGUUUU